rnacentral:rRNA from 1 species
UACGUAGGGGGCAAGCGUUGUCCGGAUUUAUUGGGCGUAAAGAGCGUGUAGGCGGCCAGGUAGGUCCGUUGUGAAAACUCGAGGCUCAACCUCGAGACGCCGAUGGAAACCAUCUGGCUAGAGUCCGGAAGAGGAGAGUGGAAUUCCUGGUGUAGCGGUGAAAUGCGCAGAUAUCAGGAAGAACACCCGUGGCGAAGGCGGCCGACUGGGCCGGAUCCGACGCUGAUGCGCGAAAGCGUGGGGAGCAAACAGG